GAUGAAGAACGUAGCGAAAUGCGAUAAGUAAUGUGAAUUGCAGAAUUCCGUGAAUCAUCGAAUCCUUGAACGCACAUUGCGCCCGCCAGUAUUCUGGCGGGCAUGCCUGUUCGAGCGUCAUUACAACCCUCAGGCCCCCGGGCCUGGCGUUGGGGAUCGGCGGAGCCCCCCGUGGGCACACGCCGUCCCCCAAAUGCAGUGGCGGUCCCGCCGCAGCUUCCAUCGCGUAGUAGCUAACACCUCGCGACUGGAGAGCGGCGCGGCCACGCCGUAAAACACCCAACUCUUCUGAAGUUGACCUCGAAUCAGGUAGGAAUACCCGCUGAACUUAAGCAUAUCAAUAAGCGGAGGA
rnacentral:misc_RNA from 1 species